AUUGAACGCUGGCGGCAGGCUUAACACAUGCAAGUCGAGCGGGGAGAUGUAGCUUGCUACAUUUCCUAGCGGCGGACGGGUGAGUAAUGCUUAGGAAUCUGCCUAUUAGUGGGGGACAACAUUCCGAAAGGAAUGCUAAUACCGCAUACGUCCUACGGGAGAAAGCAGGGGAUCUUCGGACCUUGCGCUAAUAGAUGAGCCUAAGUCAGAUUAGCUAGUUGGUGGGGUAAAGGCCUACCAAGGCGACGAUCUGUAGCGGGUCUGAGAGGAUGAUCCGCCACACUGGGACUGAGACACGGCCCAGACUCCUACGGGAGGCAGCAGUGGGGAAUAUUGGACAAUGGGCGCAAGCCUGAUCCAGCCGUGCCGCGUGUGUGAAGAAGGCCUUUUGGUUGUAAAGCACUUUAAGCGAGGAGGAGGCUACUUGGAUUAAUACUCUAGGAUAGUGGACGUUACUCGCAGAAUAAGCACCGGCUAACUCUGUGCCAGCAGCCGCGGUAA
rnacentral:rRNA from 1 species